rnacentral:rRNA from 1 species
ACUCUCUGCAACUCUCACAUGACUGCCCACUGAAGCUAAGCAAGGCUGGGCCUGGUCAGUACCUGGAUGGGAGACCACAUGGGAAAGUUAGGUUGCUGCUAGAA